rnacentral:rRNA from 1 species
CGAAAGCCUGACCCCGCGAUGCCGCGUGCGGGAAGAAGCCCUUCGGGGUGUAAACCGCUGUCAGGGGAGACGAAGGGACCGUGGGCAUAAUACCUCACGGUCUUGACGGUAUCCCCAGAGGAAGGGACGGCUAACUACGUGCCAGCAGCCGCGGUAAUACGUAGGUCCCGAGCGUUGCGCGGAGCCACUGGGCGUAAAGCGUCCGCAGCUGGUCGGGUAAGCAGGAUGUCAAAUCCCGCCGCUCAACGGCGGAAAGGCAUCCUGAACUGCCCGACUUGAGGCACGUCCAGGCAGGCGGAAUUCCCGGGGUAGCGGUGAAAUGCGUAGAUCUCGGGAGGAACACCGAAGGGGAAGCCAGCUUGCUAGGACUGUCCUGACGGUCAGGGACGAAAGCCAGGGGAGCAAACCGGAUUAGAUACCCGGGUAGUCCUGGCUGUAAACCAUGGGCGCUAGGGCUUGUUCCUUUGGAGCAGGCUCGCAGCUAACGCGUUAAGCGCCCCGCCUGGGGAAGUUAAUGGGGCGCUAGGCCUUGAGACUUCAAAGGGAAGUUUGUCGGGUGCCCUGCACAACCUGUCGGAGCGUCUGGUUUAAUUCGACGCUAACCGAAUAACCCUACCCGAGCUUGACAUGUCUGGGUUACCUCGGCGAAAGCGGAGGGUUCUAUUCCCUCCGGGAAGAGCCCUUGGCAUCAGGUGGUGCAUGGCCGUAGUCAGCUCGUGCCGUGAGAUGUUGGGUUAAGUCCCGCAACGCAGCGCAACCCCUGCCACCAGUUGCUACCCCGAAAGGGGGGGCACUCUGGUGGGACUGCCGGCGAUAAGCCGGAGGAAGGUGGGGAUGACGUCAGGUCAGUAUGCCCUUUAUGCCCGGGGCCACACAGGCGCUACAGUGGCCGGGACAAUGGGAUGCGACCCAGCAAUGGGGAGCCAAUCCCUAAACCCGGUCAUGGUGCGGAUUGUGGGCUGAAACUCGCCCACAUGAAGGCGGAAUCGGUAGUAACGGGGAAUCAGCGAUGUCCCCGUGAAUACGUUCUCGGGCCUUGCACACACCGCCCGUCACGCCACGGAAGUCGGUCCUAUCGGAAGUCCCCGAGCUAACCGGCCUCUAGACUGGAGGCAGGGGCCGAUGAUAGG